rnacentral:tRNA from 1 species
GCUUGGUUGGCCUAGUUGGUGGAGCAUGAGACUCUUGAUCUUGGGGUUGUGAGUUUGAGCCCCACAUUGUGUA